rnacentral:tRNA from 1 species
UAUGGCAGAUUAUUGGUAAUGG